AAAAACCGAACGCCGUGCAGUGAAUAUAAAUAUCAGUGAAUUUAAAUUUCACCUGGCCUAGAGCCAUCCCAACGUUUUUGGGCGAGCGUGCAAUCCACGCAACCCCAAACUUUUUGGACUGGCGUUCAAUCCACGCCAUCCACGACAGAAGAGAAAUAUAAUUAUCCACGGAAAUCCCGGAAAGAUUGGUAGGUCCAAUGUGGGAGAGACCCGAACAAAGGUUCUUAUAAUAGCUCUUGGCUGUAUUCCUUCCCCCCCCCACAGGGCUUCGCUACGCUUUCCCCCCACACUCAGCCAGAGCAGCAGCGCAUUGACGUUUUGUUGGCAAUACGCUGAGGGGUGGGGAAUUUUUCUUGGGAGACCGGUGGAAGCCCGGCUCCAGAACCUAUGUAACACCAUAGCCUGUAACUUCACAAUGACCAUGACGUAACCUUGCAGUAACCUCUGCGCAGGCGCCACAGCCGACAGUGUCGUACCGCUAAGAGGGCCACCAUUAUAUCUUAGGCUGCAAUCAAAGCCUAAAG
rnacentral:lncRNA from 1 species